rnacentral:rRNA from 1 species
CCUACGGGCGGCAGCAGUGAGGAAUAUUGGUCAAUGGGCGUAAGCCUGAACCAGCCAAGUCGCGUGAGGGAUGAAGGUUCUAUGGAUCGUAAACCUCUUUUAUAAGGGAAUAAAGUGUGGGACGUGUCCUGUUUUGUAUGUACCUUAUGAAUAAGGAUCGGCUAACUCCGUGCCAGCAGCCGCGGUAAUACGGAGGAUCCGCGCGUUAUCCGGAUUUAUUGGGUUUAAAGGGUUCGUAGGCGGCCUUUUAAGUCAGCGGUGAAAGUCUGUGGCUCAACCAUAGAAUUGCCGUUGAAACUGGGAGGCUUGAGUAUGUUUGAGGCAGGCGGAAUGCGUGGUGUAGCGGUGAAAUGCUUAGAUAUCACGCAGAACCCCGAUUGCGAAGGCAGCCUGCCAAGCCAUGACUGACGCUGAUGCACGAAAGCGUGGGGAUCAAACAGGAUUAGAUACCCCAGUAGUC